UACGGAGGGUGCAAGCGUUAUCCGGAUUCACUGGGUUUAAAGGGUGCGUAGGUGGGCAGGUAAGUCCGUGGUGAAAUCUCUGAGCUUAACUCAGAAACUGCCGUGGAUACUAUUUGUCUUGAAUAUUGUGGAGGUGAGCGGAAUAUGUCAUGUAGCGGUGAAAUGCUUAGAUAUGACAUAGAACACCAAUUGCGAAGGCAGCUCGCUACGCAUAUAUUGACUCUGAGGCACGAAAGCGUGGGGAUCAAACAGG
rnacentral:rRNA from 1 species